UACAGAGGGUGCGAACGUUGCUCGGAAUUACUGGGCGUAAAGCGCGUGUAGGCGGAUCCAUAAGUCGGGCGUGAAAUCCCAGGCUCAACCUGGGAACUGCGCUCGAAACUGUGGGUCUUGAGUGUCGGAGAGGAUGGCGGAAUUCCUGGUGUAGAGGUGAAAUUCGUAGAUAUCAGGAGGAACACCGGUGGCGAAGGCGGUUCUCUGGGCAUGUCCUGACGCUGAGGAGCGAAAGUGUGGGGAGCGAACAGG
rnacentral:rRNA from 1 species